rnacentral:rRNA from 1 species
UGGCGGACGGGUGAGUAAUGUCUGGGAAACUGCCUGAUGGAGGGGGAUAACUACUGGAACGGUAGCUAAUACCGCAUAACGUCGCAAGACCAAAGAGGGGGACCUUCGGGCCUCUUGCCAUCGGAUGUGCCCAGAUGGGAUUAGCUAGUAGGUGGGGUAACGGCUCACCUAGGCGACGAUCCCUAGCUGGUCUGAGAGGAUGACCAGCCACGCUGGAACUGAGACACGGUCCAG